rnacentral:rRNA from 1 species
GAGUUUGAUCCUGGCUCAGGACGAACGCUGGCGGCGUGCCUAAUACAUGCAAGUCGAACGAACUCUGGUAUUGAUUGGUGCUUGCAUCAUGAUUUACAUUUGAGUGAGUGGCGAACUGGUGAGUAACACGUGGGAGACCUGCCCAGAAGCGGGGGAUAACACCUGGAAACAGAUGCUAAUACCGCAUAACAACUUGGACCGCAUGGUCCGAGUUUGAAAGAUGGCUUCGGCUAUCACUUUUGGAUGGUCCCGCGGCGUAUUAGCUAGAUGGUGGGGUAACGGCUCACCAUGGCAAUGAUACGUAGCCGACCUGAGAGGGUAAUCGGCCACAUUGGGACUGAGACACGGCCCAAACUCCUACGGGAGGCAGCAGUAGGGAAUCUUCCACAAUGGACGAAAGUCUGAUGGAGCAACGCCGCGUGAGUGAAGAAGGGUUUCGGCUCGUAAAACUCUGUUGUUAAAGAAGAACAUAUCUGAGAGUAACUGUUCAGGUAUUGACGGUAUUUAACCAGAAAGCCACGGCUAACUACGUGCCAGCAGCCGCGGUAAUACGUAGGUGGCAAGCGUUGUCCGGAUUUAUUGGGCGUAAAGCGAGCGCAGGCGGUUUUUUAAGUCUGAUGUGAAAGCCUUCGGCUCAACCGAAGAAGUGCAUCGGAAACUGGGAAACUUGAGUGCAGAAGAGGACAGUGGAACUCCAUGUGUAGCGGUGAAAUGCGUAGAUAUAUGGAAGAACACCAGUGGCGCAGGCGGCUGUCUGGUCUGUAACUGACGCUGAUGCUCGAAAGUAUGGGUAGCAAACAGGAUUAGAUACCCUGGUAGUCCAUACCGUAAACGAUGAAUGCUAAGUGUUGGAGGGUUUCCGCCCUUCAGUGCUGCAGCUAACGCAUUAAGCAUUCCGCCUGGGGAGUACGGCCGCAAGGCUGAAACUCAAAGGAAUUGACGGGGGCCCGCACAAGCGGUGGAGCAUGUGGUUUAAUUCGAAGCUACGCGAAGAACCUUACCAGGUCUUGACAUACUAUGCAAAUCUAAGAGAUUAGACGUUCCCUUCGGGGACAUGGAUACAGGUGGUGCAUGGUUGUCGUCAGCUCGUGUCGUGAGAUGUUGGGUUAAGUCCCGCAACGAGCGCAACCCUUAUUAUCAGUUGCCAGCAUUAAGUUGGGCACUCUGGUGAGACUGCCGGUGACAAACCGGAGGAAGGUGGGGAUGACGUCAAAUCAUCAUGCCCCUUAUGACCUGGGCUACACACGUGCUACAAUGGAUGGUACAACGAGUUGCGAACUCGCGAGAGUAAGCUAAUCUCUUAAAGCCAUUCUCAGUUCGGAUUGUAGGCUGCAACUCGCCUACAUGAAGUCGGAAUCGCUAGUAAUCGCGGAUCAGCAUGCCGCGGUGAAUACGUUCCCGGGCCUUGUACACACCGCCCGUCACACCAUGAGAGUUUGUAACACCCAAAGUCGGUGGGGUAACCUUUUAGGAACCAGCCGCCUAAGGUGGGACAGAUGAUUAGGGUGAAGUCGUAACAAGGUAGCCGUAG